rnacentral:pre_miRNA from 1 species
GGCUUUUUGAAUCCGUGUUGAAAUUUCGUCAGACACCAACCCAUUAGGGCUGACCAGAGUUACAAGAUAAGUGAAGUU